rnacentral:tRNA from 1 species
GCACUGGGGGUUCAGUGGUAGAAUUCCCACCUUUCACGUGGGAAACCAUGAUUUGAUUCCUGGCCAUUGUA